rnacentral:lncRNA from 1 species
GGUAAAUAAUUUUUUUAGCGUAAAAGCUAAAUAAAUUCAUACAUACUGUAAUACAGAUAAUCAAAGUAUAAAAUUUAAUUUACAGUGACACAUGGGCCCACGAACAACCAAAAGUUUCAAAAGCGGUAAAUCUACAAUUUUUGAGAAUGCAAGUCCAACUGUAGCUCUCAACAAAGUGAGCUAUCUAUCGACUAUCCUGAGCCUGAAAUGGGUGGAAAAGAGGGUGGUGAGAUUAUAUAAUCCCAGUGAGUAAACAAAUACCAUCUAAAAAAUUUAAAGCUGAGUAAAUGGAGACAGAUAAAAUAGAUUAGCAUAAAAAUGAUUCACAGCAUUUCGAACUCAUUUUAAUAAGAUAAAAUAGAUUCAUUUCACCCAAAUAAACAACGAGGCUAUGAUUUCCUAAAAAGUUUGGCUCGUGCCAAAAUCAUUAUCAUACUCAGUUAUCAGGGAUACCUUGGCCGAGGGCUAUCCCAACCGAGUUCGCCAAGGCUGUUAAAAAGUCAUGUACACAUAAAUCAUGUUUUUAUUUUGAAAACAUAGCCGCUCCUUGGCGUUGGUUGAGUUCACCCUUACGUGGUGGUUUGGCAUGAAGUGAACUCUAAAAUUUUAACCUCAAGAGUUAUCCAACCGCGCCUCUCAUACUGAGGUAUGAAUAUAAUAGGGUUACUGUGCCCCUCUAAUAGGUUGGUCCAUGGAACUCGUCCACUGCAGCGAUCAAUUAUAACCCACCAAUUCAAUAAAAUUCAACAGCAUGACAUGGCAAUUAUUUUAUUUUAUAGCCUCUCAAGGCAAAUAACAGUUUAUACAUUUUCAACACAAAUACCAAUUUAGCCAUUCACGCCAAUAUUGCCAUAAGCCAAUCAAUUAGAACCAUAAAUUCACAAUACAUCAAAUGGUCUCCAAUUACUCUAUUUUCAAAGCCAUCAUUCAAUUUCAAGAUAAUUUAUAAAAUCAUUUCAUUUAAACACAUUUUGUUUAUAAAAUCUAAAAAUUAACCAUUUAAACUCAUUUUCCAUAAAAUUCACAAAAUCGAAUAAAAACUACUUUAGAUAAUUAAGACGAUAGCAAGGUUACUCACUAUUUCGGGAGUCGAAUUUCGGGUACUCUGAUUCUUGAUCCUCGGGUACUAUCUCUUUACUUUUGCCAGAAUGCUCACCACCUAGACAUAAUGCACAAUAAGCCAUUUACUACAUUUGUGCUACAUUGUUAUAAAACCAAUUCAGGCUCUAUCCUAAUGCAUGAAAUGGGAUGUCAAUUGUUCGGAUUAUCGUCUAAACACGGUGUUCUACACAAAUUCAAUUAUGUACCUAAAUAAAAUGGUAUUGACCUAAUUCAAUCUAUCACUCGAUUAAUUGGCCAAUAUGUCCAAUUCAACUCCAAGAAUUUCAUUUUUCUUCCAAUUCUCCAAACCAUCAAACACAAGUUAAAUAACUUGAAAUAUGGCAAAAUCAUCCUCACAUUUUCUCUUGGAAAAUUCAGCCAUAGUGGGUGCAUCAACACUAUAAUUUUUCAAGCUUGAUUCUCACACCAUAAAUCACUAAUUCCUAACCAAAUCACUUGAAAUAAAAUCAAAAUCAUCAUUAAUAUUCUACAUGGAGAAUUCGGCCAAUGACGGGUGAUGGGAGGAAGUGAAUUUUUCUUGUUGGCUUUUCAUACUAGACAUCACUAACUAACUAAAAACACUAAAAUACAUUGAAAUCUAACCAAAUCAACCAUCAAAAUCUCCCUCUAAGUGUUCGGCCAGCAUGGGAUUCAUCAUGAAAUCAUGUGAUUCAACCAUGGAAAAUAAGAAAAAAUGCUUAAGAAAGAGAGAUCUCAAGCUUAAUUGAAAAAUCUUACCUUUUUUUUCACUUGUUUCCUUGAAUUUUCACACUUUUCCCUUGAAUUUUUCCACCUAGGGUUUUGUUCUUGCUUUGACCGGC